rnacentral:rRNA from 1 species
UUCUUGCAAACUAAAGAUGGCGACCGGCGCACGGGUGAGUAACACGUAUCCAACCUGCCGAUAACUCGGGGAUAGCCUUUCGAAAGAAAGAUUAAUAUCCGAUAGUAUAUUAAAACCGCAUGGUUUUACUAUUAAAGAAUUUCGGUUAUCGAUGGGGAUGCGUUCCAUUAGUUUGUUGGCGGGGUAACGGCCCACCAAGACUACGAUGGAUAGGGGUUCUGAGAGGAAGGUCCCCCACAUUGGUACUGAGACACGGACCAA